rnacentral:rRNA from 1 species
GAUGAACGCUGGCGGCGUGCCUAAUACAUGCAAGUCGAGCGAAGCGGGGACGGGUGAGUAACACGUGGAUAACCUCCUAUAAGACUGGGAUAACUUCGGGAAACCGGAGCUAAACCGGAUAAUUAUAGAUGGAUCCGCGCUGCAUUAGCUAGUUGGUAAGGUAACGGCUUACCAAGGCAACGAUGCAUAGCCGACCUGGAAGGGUGAUCGGCCACACUGGAACUGAGCCACGGUCCAGACUCCGACGGUAGGCAGCAGUGGGGAAUCUUCCGCAAUGGGCGGAAGCCUGACGUAGCAACGCCGCGUGGGUGAUGAAGGGCUUCGGAUCGUAAAACUCUUUUAUUAGGGAAGCGGUACCUAAUCAGAAAGCCACGGCUAACUACGUGCCAGCAGCCGCGGUAAUUC